CAUGAAUGCCCUUCUGAGUGUUUCAUUUCAUCAGUCACAGAUAAAUACGCUCCUGGAUUAUACUGUUAAGAUCAAAAUCCAAAAAUGAAGGCACAGUGGUGAGAGGUGGCAUGUUGAUGCACACACGAGUUGCAGGUCCAGGAUGAUGGUUGAUUUGAUGGUGUG